GCCAGUUCGUCUUUACUGUUAUAGCGAUCAUUUUCCCAGUUUAUUCCUACCCUGUUAAUGACCUUGCUUCUGGAUUUUUGACCAUUUCCUGCUGGUGGUUGCUAGUGUAUUCCUGAGACACUGAAAUAACUGGUUGGCUCCAGCAGGCUCCGUGUCUCCGUGCUGCUGCCUGGUGAAAGCAGCGUCCAGUGGAGGAGGAUUGGUAGUGACAUCUGGCAGUUUGAUAAAGUGGAUUUGGUUUCUUAGGGGCAAUUCCAGGCUACUCUCCCCGGGCGCCAGGCCUACUCUGAGCCCGCGAGUCCGAUCUAAUCCAUCGCCGAGAUGGCUGAUCUGUCCUUCCUUAACAUCCUCUGCCACCGCUGCAAAGUGAAGACAACAAACAACAUGCAGGCAUGUCCAAAUACAGAGGCCCGCGCUCGCUAACAUGUAGCCGCUCACAACACAUGGAGGGAAAGGAUCCAGUCGGGCCUUACCUCACCCGUGGCAUUGGAGGGGGAAUUACAGGGCUUAGUUCUCUCAACUUGACCCCGCUCCUAAUUACUUGUCGGAUAAGUCUUUUGGCUCCUAGCGGAGUGUUGUCCUAACCUCCACUUGUCUGCUGUGUGUCCAAACAUGGAGAAAGGAAAACACGCUCCAGUGUACCGGGGGGCUUAGCCUCAACGCCGCGUUCUCACAGAGCCAAACGCCCCACCGCAUGCAGGCUCCCAGGGACCCACACAGGUUAGACUGCAGCUUACCUCUGUUUCUUCUACUACUGAGGAUGAAUGAGUGGUGGGAAAAUGACUAAAGAGGAUGGAGUUGAACUUAUAAAUGUAGCAAUAAGGGUUUUCACCUCAGUUUCUUUGCUCCCACAGUUAAAAAUUUCACCAUAUGUCCCUCUUUGAGGCAGAAUAAAGAAGCAAAAACUGAAGCACCAUUCUCCUUUUAAAAAAACAGCGAGAGGCAGCAGUAAGUGGAGGCAACCUGCAGCGAAUUUGUCUUCGUCAGACCAUAUUGUCUCAGACAUUUCAAAACCUUCUUUGGCAGCCUCCCCUGUAAUCAAGGCCCCUUCAAAGACAAUGAUCAGUGCAACAACUUAGUGUGUAAUAGACGCUAAUGAUGGAUAAUAACACUGGUACACAGAGAGAGAACGAGACGACUCAUCACGAUCGGCUCUUUUAAGCGUUUCUGAUGUGACUUUACACUCGGCAGGAACGUGUUACGUUUUGUUCUUUUAUAAGAGUCAUUUAUAUCAGGGAUGGUUGACUGAGAGACACUUUUAAUUCCUCCUCUCUGCAGUGAGUCACACAGCGCUUUCUACUUGAAUUAGCACACUAACAAGCAACAUUCAUGAUUAAAUAAAGAUGAGAAUCAUUUUUUUUACUAAAAGAGAAAGUUAAUGUCCAACAUCCUCUUUGUUUGGUUACUGAUCAUAUCUCCUCAACUCAUCCCUCCGCCCUCUGCUCUAACCCUGGGAAA